UAAAAAGCCAGUCAAGUCGCUUCCCCAAGUGGUUAAGCGGGCCUAUCCAAGUGAUCUCGAAAAGCCUUCCACUUCAGGCUCCCCUCUGAAAUGUUACUUGUAUGGCAGAGAACAUCUGCGACGAGACUGCCCUAAAGCCGUUUCUCAACCCAGCGAGCCACCCAAGGGGCCAACCAAACCGCCAGUCCCUGCAUGCACACGGCAGACGCCUAAGCUGAAAUUCAUCGGUUACCCAGAAGCGGAGGAAGGAAAGCCAGACUUCAAGGUGACUCAACAAGAGGAAGCUACAGAAGAAUUCUUCCACCCACUGGCAACAUUGCCAACACCCGGACAACGAGGAGUUGAUUCUUCGCAAGCACAGGAGCAAACUAGUGAGGACAAAGGAAUUUCAACUACUCAAUGCAGCAAUUAAAAUCCUUUCCAACCGGGCAUGUUUGGAGCUUCUGUCUGGAAGGGGGUUCAUGAGGCUACUCAGCCAACCAAGUGGAACUUAAAUUUCAGAAUUGAGGGCCUGGAGUGUUUAAUUUCCAGAGAGUGAGCUGAUUGGGCUGCAAAAGAAUUUGGCUAAAUGGAUCCAGCGCCUUCAGCCUGUGACUUGCCUUCUGCACCUUUUAUCAUCUUUGCAGUUCUCCUUGGAAUGAUUGUCAACAUCCUUCUGCAAUUGUGGCACCCAAAAGUGAACACAAGAUACCCAAUAAAGUUAGCUAGACAGAUCUUCCUACUACCCAUUCCUACUUUUUCCAGCAAUACUUUCUUUUCUGGU